GUGGGGAAUAUUGGACAAUGGGCGAAAGCCUGAUCCAGCCAUGCCGCGUGUGUGAAGAAGGUCUUCGGAUUGUAAAGCACUUUAAGUUGGGAGGAAGGGCAGUAAGUUAAUACCUUGCUGUUUUGACGUUACCGACAGAAUAAGCACCGGCUAACUUCGUGCCAGCAGCCGCGGUAAUACGAAGGGUGCAAGCGUUAAUCGGAAUUACUGGGCGUAAAGCGCGCGUAGGUGGUUUUGUAAGUUGGAGGUGAAAUCCCCGGGCUCAACCUGGGAACUGCCUCCAAAACUGCAUGACUAGAGUACGGUAGAGGGCAGUGGAAUUUCCUGUGUAGCGGUGAAAUGCGUAGAUAUAGGAAGGAACACCAGUGGCGAAGGCGACUACCUGGACUGAUACUGACACUGAGGUGCGAAAGCGUGGGGAGCAAACAGGAUUAGAAACCCGGGUAGUCC
rnacentral:rRNA from 1 species